AUGAGUCAAGGAGAGCUCUCACUCAGUUUGCGUCCGCUGCCACAGUGCGACACAUGCACUGGGAAGAGGAAACAGAAGAAACCGUUACUGUUUUGGUUUCCGUGACAGGACGGAGAGGGAGAUUUGUAUGGCAGACAUGUUGCAGAUGUCGUGCGUUUGAGGAUGUGCGCCCAUGAAGGUGUGUAUUUAUGUCACAGUUCUUUGCUUUUAUGAAAAUCUACACAUUCACUUU